rnacentral:rRNA from 1 species
AUUGAACGCUGGCGGCAUGCUUUACACAUGCAAGUCGAACGGUAACAGGGUGCUUGCACCGCUGACGAGUGGCGAACGGGUGAGUAAUGCGUCGGAACGUGCCGAGUAGUGGGGGAUAACGCAGCGAAAGUUGUGCUAAUACCGCAUACGUACUGAGGUAGAAAGUGGGGGACCUUCGGGCCUCACGCUAUUCGAGCGGCCGAUGUCUGAUUAGCUAGUAGGUGAGGUAAAGGCUCACCUAGGCGACGAUCAGUAGCGGGUCUGAGAGGAUGAUCCACCACACUGGGACUGAGACACGGCCCAGACUCCUACGGGAGGCAGCAGUGGGGAAUUUUGGACAAUGGGCGAAAGCCUGAUCCAGCCAUGCCGCGUGUCUGAAGAAGGCCUUCGGGUUGUAAAGGACUUUUGUCAGGGAGGAAAUCCCUAGUGCUAAUAACACUGGGGGAUGACAGUACCUGAAGAAUAAGCAUCGGCUAACUACGUGCCAGCAGCCGCCGUAA